rnacentral:rRNA from 1 species
UACGGAGGAUGCGAGUGUUAUCCGGAUUUAUUGGGUUUAAAGGGUGCGUAGGCGGGCCGUUAAGUCAGCGGUCAAAUGUCGGGGCUCAACCCCGGCCUGCCGUUGAAACUGGCGGCCUCGAGUGGGCGAGAAGUAUGCGGAAUGCGUGGUGUAGCGGUGAAAUGCAUAGAUAUCACGCAGAACUCCGAUUGCGAAGGCAGCAUACCGGCGCCCGACUGACGCUGAGGCACGAAAGCAUGGGUAUCGAACAGG